GAUGAACGCUGGCGGCAUGCCUAACACAUGCAAGUCGGACGGGUAGUGGUGUUUCCAGUGGCGGUCGGGUGAGUAACGGGUAAGAAACUGCCCUUGGGAGGGCCACAAUAGCUGGAAACGGCACCUAAUACCCCGUAGACUGAGGAGCACAAGGAGGGAUCCGCCUGAGGGGGGGCUCGAGUCUGAGUCGCUAGUUGGUGAGACGAUAGCCUACCAAGUUGAUGGUCAGUGGCUGGUCCGAGAGGAUGAUCAGCCACACCGGGGCUGAGACACCGCCCAGACUCCUGCGGGCGGCAGUGGGGAGGCUUUCACAGCAAGGGGAGGCAGGAUGACGGGGCGCUGCGGCGGGGAGGAAGGAGUCCUAGGGGUCGUGAACUUCUUGUACCGGAGAGGAGACAAUGACGGUAUCUGGAGAAGAAGCACCGGCUAACUCCGUG
rnacentral:rRNA from 1 species